GGCCAACCUCGUUUUGAGGAGAAAAUAAAGGAUGCUGUUAAUUGGGACAUGAUUUAGCGCUGCUCUGUUGAUUUGCCUGGUGUCUUCACACUCAACCUGAGACAGAUUCCUGUGCCAGACAUCGGGGAUCUGAAGAGAAGACAUUCAAGCCUGAUGAAUUUAUAGACUGUGUUAAAGUGUGUAUCUUCUGGAUCCUAAACUAUGGCUAGAAGAGGAAGUGCUGGGCCUCAAAAACCAGCUCUAUGAGGAACAACUUGGAUCAAAGGGCUGUAUACUGUGAUUGAUAAGUCUGAGAUCUAGAAACUGGAGCAUCGAGAAGGGAUGUGACUUUCUCAUUACAAGCUAGCAAGGAAGGGGAUAAGACAUAAAAAUUAUAAAACAAGGAAGAAAGUAAAGAAGACUGAAAGAAGGAGCACACUCUGAACCGGAAGUUCACGACAAGAGGGAUGAGCUGAGGGUUCAAAAUGAUAUCUGAACUGGCUCUUGAAGGACAGGCAUAGAAUGGUGGUCCUGAUGCUGCUGAACCCUGGACCACAUUUCAAAGAGCAAGUAGGGGACAGAACACGUCUUUGGAGUCAAGCAAGGCAUUAACCUCUUUGGGUCUUGUUUUCCUCAACUGCAAAAUGGAGAAAAUGCAUGCAUGAUGAAAUUCUUGUCAAGUUGAAAUAAAACGAGCAUUCUGAAAGUACUUUGUAAACUC
rnacentral:lncRNA from 1 species